rnacentral:rRNA from 1 species
AUUGAACGCUGGCGGCAUGCCUUACACAUGCGAGUCGAACGGUAACAGGUCUUCGGAUGCUGACGAGUGGCGAACGGGUGAGUAAUACAUCGGAACGUGCCUAGUAGUGGGGGAUAACUACUCGAAAGAGUGGCUAAUACAGCAUGAGAUCUACGGAUGGAAGCAGGGGAUCGCAAGACCUUGUGCUAGUCGAGCGGCCGAUGGCAGAUUAGGUAGUUGGUGGGAUAAAAGCUUACCAAGCCGACGAUCUGUAGCUGGUCUGAGAGGACGAUCAGCCACACUGGGACUGAGACACGGCCCAGACUCCUACGGGCGGCAGCAGUGGGUAAUUUUGGACAAUGGGCGCAAGCCUGAUCCAGCAAUGCCGCGUGCAGGAUGAAGGCCUUCGGGUUGUAAACUGCUUUUGUACGGAACGAAAAGCCCUGGGUUAAUACCCUGGGGUCAUGACGGUACCGUAAGAAUAAGCACCGGCUAACUACGUGCCAGCCGCCGCAGUAACAC